rnacentral:rRNA from 1 species
GGUUAAGCGACUAAGCGUACACGGUGGAUGCCUAGGCAAUCAGAGGCGAUGAAGGACGUGCUAAUCUGCGAUAAGCGUCGGUAAGGUGAUAUGAACCGUUACAACCGACGAUUUCCGAAUGGGGAAACCCAGUGCAAUUCGUUGCACUAUCGUUUGAUGAAUACAUAGUCAAACGAAGCGAACCGGGGGAACUGAAACAUCUCAGUACCCCGAGGAAAAGAAAUCAACCGAGAUUCCCCUAGUAGCGGCGAGCGAACGGGGAGCAGCCCAGAGUCUUAAUCAGCAUUAGCAUCAGGAGAACGGUCUGGAAAGUCCGGCAGUAAAGGGUGAUAGCCCCGUAUCCGAAGGUGUUAGUGUUGUGAACUCGACGAGUAGGGCGGGACACGUGUUAUCCUGUCUGAAUAUGGGGGGACCAUCCUCCAAGGCUAAAUACUCCUGAUUGACCGAUAGUGAACCAGUACCGUGAGGGAAAGGCGAAAAGAACCCCGGCGAGGGGAGUGAAAUAGAACCUGAAACCGUGUACGUACAAGCAGUGGGAGCCUUGAUUUAUCAGGGUGACUGCGUACCUUUUGUAUAAUGGGUCAGCGACUUAUAUUCUGUAGCAAGGUUAACCGAAUAGGGGAGCCGUAGGGAAACCGAGUCUUAACUGGGCGAAUGAGUUGCAGGGUAUAGACCCGAAACCCGGUGAUCUAGCCAUGGGCAGGUUGAAGGUUGGGUAACACUAACUGGAGGACCGAACCGACUAAUGUUGAAAAAUUAGCGGAUGACUUGUGGCUGGGGGUGAAAGGCCAAUCAAACCGGGAGAUAGCUGGUUCUCCCCGAAAGCUAUUUAGGUAGCGCCUCGUGAACUCAUCUUCGGGGGUAGAGCACUGUUUCGACUAGGGGGUCAUCCCGACUUACCAACUCGAUGCAAACUACGAAUACCGAAGAAUGUUAUCACGGGAGACACACGGCGGGUGCUAACGUUCGUCGUGAAGAGGGAAACAACCCAGACCGCCAGCUAAGGUCCCAAAGUCAUAGUUAAGUGGGAAACGAAGUGGGAAGGCUCAGACAGCCAGGAUGUUGGCUUAGAAGCAGCCAUCAUUUAAAGAAAGCGUAAUAGCUCACUGGUCGAGUCGGCCUGCGCGGAAGAUGUAACGGGGCUAAACUAUGCACCGAAGCUGCGGCAGCGAACGUAUCACUUAAACUGAUUAAGUGAUACUCAAAUGUAUCAAAACGAUUGACGGAGCGAAGCGACGUCAAUGCGUCCAACAAAGUCGAGGCGGAAACGUCAGGCAGUCAGUUUAAGGAUACGUUCGUUGGGUAGGGGAGCGUUCUGUAAGCCUGUGAAGGUGUGCUGUGAGGCAUGCUGGAGGUAUCAGAAGUGCGAAUGCUGACAUAAGUAACGAUAAUGCGGGUGAAAAACCCGCACGCCGGAAGACCAAGGGUUCCUGUCCAACGUUAAUCGGGGCAGGGUGAGUCGACCCCUAAGGCGAGGCAGAAAUGCGUAGUCGAUGGGAAACGGGUUAAUAUUCCCGUACUGGUGAUAAUUGCGAUGGGGGGACGGAGAAGGCUAGGCUAUCCGGGCGACGGUUGUCCCGGUUUAAGGAUGUAGGCAGGUGAAUUAGGCAAAUCCGGUUCACUAUAUGCUGAGGUCCGACGACGAGUCACUACGGUGAUGAAGUAGCUCAUGCCCCGCUUCCAGGAAAAGCCUCUAAGCUCUAGAUUAUCAUUAAUCGUACCCCAAACCGACACAGGUGGUCAGGUAGAGAAUACUCAGGCGCUUGAGAGAACUCGGGUGAAGGAACUAGGCAAAAUGGUGCCGUAACUUCGGGAGAAGGCACGCUGGCAUUAGGUGAAGUGGUUUACCCAUGGAGCUGAAGCCAGUCGCAGAUACCAGCUGGCUGCAACUGUUUAUUAAAAACACAGCACUGUGCAAACACGAAAGUGGACGUAUACGGUGUGACGCCUGCCCGGUGCUGGAAGGUUAAUUGAUGGGGUUAUCCGUAAGGAGAAGCUCUUGAUCGAAGCCCCAGUAAACGGCGGCCGUAACUAUAACGGUCCUAAGGUAGCGAAAUUCCUUGUCGGGUAAGUUCCGACCUGCACGAAUGGCGUAAUGAUGGCCAGGCUGUCUCCACCCGAGACUCAGUGAAAUUGAACUCGCUGUGAAGAUGCAGUGUACCCGCGGCAAGACGGAAAGACCCCGUGAACCUUUACUAUAGCUUGACACUGAACAUUGAGCCUUGAUGUGUAGGAUAGGUGGGAGGCUUUGAAGUGUGGACGCCAGUCUGCAUGGAGCCAACCUUGAAAUACCACCCUUUAAUGUUUGAUGUUCUAACGUUGCCCCAUUAUCUGGGGUGCGGACAGUGUCUGGUGGGUAGUUUGACUGGGGCGGUCUCCUCCCAAAGAGUAACGGAGGAGCACGAAGGUUGGCUAAGCAUGGUCGGACAUCAUGCGGUUAGUGCAAAGGCAUAAGCCAGCUUGACUGCGAGAGUGACGGCUCGAGCAGGUACGAAAGUAGGUCUUAGUGAUCCGGUGGUUCUGAAUGGAAGGGCCAUCGCUCAACGGAUAAAAGGUACUCCGGGGAUAACAGGCUGAUACCGCCCAAGAGUUCAUAUCGACGGCGGUGUUUGGCACCUCGAUGUCGGCUCAUCACAUCCUGGGGCUGAAGUAGGUCCCAAGGGUACGGCUGUUCGCCGUUUAAAGUGGUACGCGAGCUGGGUUUAGAACGUCGUGAGACAGUUCGGUCCCUAUCUGCCGUGGGCGUUGGAAGAUUGAAAGGGGCUGCUCCUAGUACGAGAGGACCGGAGUGGACGCACCACUGGUGUUCGGGUUGUCAUGCCAAUGGCAUUGCCCGGUAGCUAAGUGCGGAAGAGAUAACCGCUGAAAGCAUCUAAGCGGGAAACUUGCCUUGAGAUGAGUCUUCCCUGACCCUUUAAGGGUCCUAAAGGAACGUUUAAGACUAAGACGUUGAUAGGUUGGGUGUGUAAGCGUAGCGAUACGUUGAGCUAACCAAUACUAAUGAACCGUGAGGCUUAACCUG